rnacentral:rRNA from 1 species
ACGGGUGAGUAACGCGUAGGUGACCUACCCCUCAGAGGGGGAUAACUGGGGGAAACCUCAGCUAAUACCCCAUACGUUCCUACCUAUAAGCAGGUAGGAAGAAAGGGAGCAAUAGCUCUGCUGAGGGAGGGGCCUGCGACCCAUCAGGUAGUUGGUGAGGUAACGGCUCACCAAGCCUACGACGGGUAGCCGGUCUGAGAGGAUGGCCGGCCACAAGGGCACUGAGACACGGGCCCUACUCCUACGGGAGGCAGCAGUGGGGGAUUUUGGACAAUGGGCGAAAGCCUGAUCCAGCGACGCCGCGUGCGGGACGAAGCCCUUCGGGGUGUAAACCGCUGUGGUGGGAGACGAAUAAGGUGAGGAGUGGAAAGCCUCACUGAUGACGGUAUCCCACUAGAAAGCCCCGGCUAACUACGUGCCAGCAGCCGCGGUAAUACGUAGGGGGCGAGCGUUACCCGGAUUUACUGGGCGUAAAGGGGGCGUAGGCGGCCGUGAAAGUCCGGUGUGAAAACUCACGGCUCAACCGUGGGACUGCGCUGGAAACUACACGGCUUGAGGACGGUAGAGGGAGACGGAACUGCUGGUGUAGGGGUGAAAUCCGUAGAUAUCAGCAGGAACGCCGGUGGAGAAGUCGGUCUCCUGGGCCGUUCCUGACGCUGAGGCCCGAAAGCUAGGGGAGCAAACCGGAUUAGAUACCCGGGUAGUCCUAGCCGUAAACGAUGCCCACUAGGUGUGGGGGAGUAAUUCCUCCGUGCUGAAGCUAACGCGAUAAGUGGGCCGCCUGGGGAGUAUGCCCGCAAGGGUGAAACUCAAAGGAAUUGACGGGACCCCGCACAAGCGGUGGAGCGUGUGGUUUAAUUGGACGCUAAGCCAAGAACCUUACCAGGGCUUGACAUGCUGGUGGUACUGACCCGAAAGGGGAGGGACCUGUGGCGUUAGUCACGGGAGCCAGCACAGGUGGUGCACGGUCGUCGUCAGCUCGUGCCGUGAGGUGUUGGGUUAAGUCCCGCAACGAGCGCAACCCCUGCCCUUAGUUGCCAGCGGUUCGGCCGGGCACUCUAAGGGGACUGCCGGCGACGAGCCGGAGGAAGGAGGGGAUGACGUCAGAUACUCGUGCCCCUUAUGCCCUGGGCGACACACGCGCUACAAUGGGUGGGGCAGCGGGAAGCGAGCCAGCGAUGGUGAGCGAAACCCUUAAACCCACCCUCAGUUCGGAUUGCAGGCUGAAACCCGC